GGACUACAGGGGUUUCUAAUCCCGUUCGCUCCCCUAGCUUUCGUACAUGAGCGUCAGUGACUCCCCAGGAUGGUGCCUACGCCUUUGGUGUUCUUCCGGAUCUCUACGCAUUUCACCACUCCACCCGGAAUUCCCCAUCCCUCUGAAGCCCUCAAGUCCCACAGUUUCCAUAAGCCUGACACAGUUAAGCUGUGCCCUGUCCCUACAGACUGAUGGGACCGCCUGCGUACGCUUUACGCCCAGUAACUCCGGACAACGCUCGCCUCCUACGUAUUACCGCGGCUGCUGGCAC
rnacentral:rRNA from 1 species